rnacentral:lncRNA from 1 species
UUUUUCUUUUUUUUUUUUUUUGAGACAGAGUUCUGCUCUGUCACCCAGUCUGGAGUGCAGUGACACGAUCUCGGCUCACUGCAGCCUCCGCCUCCUGGAUUUAAGUGAUUCUUGUGCCUCAGCCACCCAGUAUCUCAGACUACAGGCAUGCGCCACCAUGCCCGGCUAAUUUUUGUAUUUUUAGUAGAGACAGGGGUUUCACCAUGUUGCCCAGUCUGGUCUCAAACUCCUGGCUUCAAGUUAUCCACCCACCUUGGCCUCCCAAAGUGCUGGGAUUACAGCCGUGAGCCACUGUGCCCAGCCGCUAGUACUUUUUUUCUGAAAAGAGAAUACAACUGCUCAGGAGAAGGCUAAGCAUUCUAUGUGCUGAGAUCAGAGAGAAAUUUCUCACGUACAUGUAAUGCCUUCAAAAGGGUCCUCAGUGAAUGCCUUUGGAUGGACCACAGUAACUUUUCAGGGCAGUUUCUUAUGAUGUCCUCUUGCAGAGCAGGGCGCUUCAGGCCAUAGUGAGCAUGGGAAAUCAGUUCUACAGGGAGCCAAGAUGAUACCCUUUGGGGACACAUCUAGAUGAUACCCUUUGGGGACACAUCUCAGCUUGUUAGCUGAGUGGGUUUUGGAGGGCCCGAUGGGUGGUCAGACCUAUUAUCGCUGAGCAAGCUCUGCAAACUCUUCAGCAUCAGUGAGUUCAGGAAAGCAUAUGAAUGCAUAUGAAUAACUGUUCUGGGCUUCAGUGCUGUGUGCUUAAAGGUGCUGAGCGAGAGGCAGGGUCAGGACUAGCUGCAUGAGUUGUGAGAUCCAGGGUAAAAUAAAAAUACAGAGUUCCUUGUUCAAAAGUUAGGAAUCAAGAUGGUGACAAUAGAGCAUUAAACCAACCGAAGCUCCUUUCUACGCGUGGGGCCCUGUGAGACCGCACAAGUCACACUUCUGUGAAGCUGGCCCUAGACAGGAGAGAUGACGUCAUGAAAAGUUGAAGAACCUGGUGAGGACACAGCCUGAAGAGAAGGUCAAGCCAAGCUUCGUUCUGCUGAGCCCCAGACUGCACACAGGUAAUUCCCCAAGCUCCUAAAGACAAUGUCUCUCGAAUCCCAAACUCGGGUGUGGAAGGAAUACUACUUUCUUUCUCAUAACAAGUUAAUUUUUGGCUCCACACCUCACAUUACAAGGGUCACAGAAAAGUAAAUGGGUAAACAAACCCCACCACCAAUCACAUCCUAAAACCCAGUCUCCCCUGCAGUUUUUGCAUAGAAAGCUUUAUUAUUUGAGUUAUUCAGGGUGUUUCCCCAUAAUGAUCUCCUGUAAGAAAUAUUGGGGAGAACAGGGACAGUGGCAUGUAGCCCCACUUGGUCUAACAGAGUGUUUUAAUGAGACCUGGAGGAGGAAGGUCAGUCUCUGGGUGACAGGCAGCCCCUAGCGGGAGGAUCCUGCCCCAUUAGAUGCUUCUCUGCCACUUCAGACCCGGGUGGGUCCAUCUCCGCCUCCCAGGCUAGAUGUAGCCAGGCCCCAAAGCUCAGGACGUUUACAGGAGGUCUAGAGCAGGAACCACCGAAGAAUCAGAACUGUUCGUUCAUUCAGUGCAUGUUUAUUGAAUACCAGCUAGGUUAGGCACUGCUCUUGGGGCUAGGGAGACAGUCA